rnacentral:rRNA from 1 species
UCUUUGGGGGUACUGGCCCAGUGUUAAAAAAACGGGGAAGGAAAGGUUGGGGGAUGGAACGUCAAAAUUCAUCAUGCCCCUUUAUAACCCUUGGGGGCUGCCACAACGUGGCUACAAAAUGGCNUGCAACAAAGAGCUGCGAUACCGUGAGGUGGAGCGAAUCUCAAAAAACAGGUCUAAGUCCAGAUUGAAGGCUGAAACUCGCCUUCAUGAAGUCGGAGUCGCUAGUAAUCGUGGAUCAGCACGCCACGGUGAAUACGUUCCCGGGCCUUGUACACACCGCCCGGGAAUCACUAGUGAAUUCGCGG